CAGCAGCCGCGGUAAUACGGAGGAUCCAAGCGUUAUCCGGAAUCAUUGGGUUUAAAGGGUCCGUAGGCGGUCUUGUAAGUCAGUGGUGAAAGCCCAUCGCUCAACGGUGGAACGGCCAUUGAUACUGCAGGACUUGAAUUAUUGGGAAGUAACUAGAAUAUGUAGUGUAGCGGUGAAAUGCUUAGAGAUUACAUGGAAUACCAAUUGCGAAGGCAGGUUACUACCAAUUGAUUGACGCUGAUGGACGAAAGCGUGGGUAGCGAACAGGAUUAGAUACCCGAGUAGUCCCUGUCUCUUAUAA
rnacentral:rRNA from 1 species